GACGUAGGGCGCGAGCGUUGUCCGGAUUUAUUGGGCGUAAAGAGCUCGUAGGCGGCUUGUCGCGUCGACCGUGAAAACUUGGGGGCUCAACCCCAAGCCUGCGGUCGAUACGGGCAGGCUAGAGUUCGGUAGGGGAGACUGGAAUUCCUGGUGUAGCGGUGAAAAUGCGCAGAUAUCAGGAGGAACACCGGUGGCGAAGGCGGGUCUCUGGGCCGAUACUGACGCUGAGGAGCGAAAAGCGUGGGGGAGCGAAACAGG
rnacentral:rRNA from 1 species